rnacentral:sRNA from 1 species
UGUGUGGAAAAGUUAAAGCAUUUCAAUA